CUUAGGCCAAAAAUCAAUGGGACUUAAAUCCAAUAUCUUAUCAUCAUGGUGCAUCAGGACUCUUAACCCAAUAUCUUACCCUCUUAAUGGCAUGAGAUUUAAAUCCAUUAUCACAUCCUCGGCCAAUAACAUAUUAGGCCAAAGUAUAAUAAACUCAAACUUGAGCCUAUAACAAUAUCACCACUUUGUGAUUGUCAAUAUUCUCUUCAAACAUAAUUUGAAGAACAUGAGUUAAUAAUAUACUUAUCUUAUCAUAAAUAGUAGAAACGUGAAAUUCAAGUCGUGAUGAUCGCAUAGUGCUUGCGGUCAUUCCUUCUCUACCUUUCGAUCCAAUUUUCUUUUCUUAUCCUUCAAAUUUUGAAACGGUGGAGUCUCAUGCUGAUCAUGUGUUAUAAAAUCAAGACAAAAUAUCAAUAUCAAACUUAAAGAAAUGAGAGAACUAGAGAAUU
rnacentral:lncRNA from 1 species